GGAGAGAUGUCCGAGUGGUCGAAGGAGCACGCCUGGAGAGCGUGUAGGGGUCUAAAGCCCCUCCCGGGUUCGAAUCCCGGUCUCUCCG
rnacentral:tRNA from 1 species